rnacentral:lncRNA from 10 species
GACAGACAGGGGCGCUGGUGAACCAGGACAGAAGAUGGCACAGGUUUGGGCACGCCGCGGAAGCUCGGGAUAUCGGGAACUUCGCAUAAUGGGGCCACACGCAAGCCGAAGCAUAACUAUAUACAAAGUUUCUCGCAUUGACUUUGACGGGCGAGAUGUACUUUAUUUCGCGAUCUCACACUAACCCAGCGCCGCACCGGCACCCGCUCGGUGCUGCGCUCUCGUGCACGCGCGUUGGCUCCUCCCCUCCGUCUGCUCCCCUCCCCCAGACACCGCCCACCAAGAGGCCUGAGCGGUUCAGACUACAUUCUCCGAGAGCCCCUGGGUCCGCCCAGCCCAGUGCCUGACACCUCCUUCACCUAUGAUUGGGCGCUGGCCUCCCUGGGCUCCGCCCCCUGGUGACGUAACCCCGCUUUCCUCCGAGUCUCGGCGCCAGAGGGGCGGGGAGGGGCGGGGUCUCGAUCGCGCUAUUGUCAUGGAGACGGGAAGCUGGCUGCAGCGGCGGCGGGGACCGUGGGGCCGAGGUGGCUGCCAGCCGGCCAAUGUCUAAGCGAGGCGGAGCGGCCCAGGCGGCCCGAGCCUGGGGGAGCGCGCAGCCGGCCAGUGGCGGCCUCGCCGGCGGCCUCUUCCCGGGCUCGCAGUAGGCCCGAGUCGUCGCCGGGAGCUCCUGGGAGCAGCGUCCCCGCCCUGCUCCCCUCGCUCCCGCCUCUUGCGGCCCCACGGCCCCUCAGCGCCCGCCCCCGGCUCCGCCCGCCGCAGCCGCAGCCCCUGGCGCUAACGGUCGGUAACGGCCCGCGCGCGCCGCCCGCCGGGGGCUCGCGCCAGCCACGAGGGAGCGUCCGCGGCCCGCGCGCCCGCGCGGCGGAGGAGAGGUGUUAAGUGUGAUGCUUCCAUAAUACAUUUGGAUGCUGUCAGCUAAGUUCACUUCUGAACUAAGGGGUUCCUCCAAAUGUUGGCUGAAAUUCAUCCCAAGGCUGGUCUGCAAAGUCUGCAAUUCAUAAUGGAGCUACUGUACUGGCUAUUGGAAGGAGGAGAUUCUGAAGAUAAGGAGGUAAAACCUGUUUAGAAAUUAAAAAUGAGUUACGAUUUAAAGAAAAUUCAGAUGACUCAUUGUGAGUGCUAGUUCUCUUGUAGGAUGCCACUGGAAAUGUUGAAAUGAAAAAUAUUCAGCCGUUGGUCUUUGAAAUUUCCUGUGAUGUGUUUCAAUCUAGAUGCAAAGAACAUGGAAAAAUCAAAGUGCUCGAGUGGUUUAAAUAUGUUUUGGGUAUUCCUGUUUAUAGACUAUAAUACUUUUCCAAUUAAAAUCCUCAGUUGUCACGCAGAAGAAGGUUAAGCUGUAUUUGAUUGCCAGUUUUACUGAAAAUGCUUAGUAUUUUACAGUAUCACCAAAUAUAUUUUGUUUAGCCAAGGUAUAGGAAAAAUAAAAUAAAUUGUAUAGGUUG